GAUGAACGCUGGCGGCGUGCCUAAUACAUGCAAGUCGAGCGAACGGACGAGAAGCUUGCUUCUCUGAUGUUAGCGGCGGACGGGUGAGUAACACGUGGAUAACCUACCUAUAAGACUGGGAUAACUUCGGGAAACCGGAGCUAAUACCGGAUAAUAUUUUGAACCGCAGGGUUCAAAAGUGAAAGACGGUCUUGCUGUCACUUAUAGAUGGAUCCGCGCUGCAUUAGCUAGUUGGUAAGGUAACGGCUUACCAAGGCAACGAUGCAUAGCCGACCUGAGAGGGUGAUCGGCCACAUUGGAACUGAGACACGGUCCAGACUCCUACGGGAGGCAGCAGUAGGGAAUCUUCCGCAAUGGGCGAAAGCCUGACGGAGCAACGCCGCGUGAGUGAUGAAGGUCUUCGGAUCGUAAAACUCUGUUAUUAGGGAAGAACAUAUGUGUAAGUAACUGUGCACAUCUUGACGGUACCUAAUCAGAAAGCCACGGCUAACUACGUG
rnacentral:rRNA from 1 species